rnacentral:rRNA from 1 species
UAGAGUACCGAAGUGACUGAUUCCGCACUGACGAGAAAAUCCACUAUCGAGAGUAGAGGUACCCGUACCGCAAACCGACACAGGUAGAUGAGGAGAGAAUCCUAAGACGAACGGGAGAAGCGUUGUUAAGGGACUCGGCAAAUUGACCCCGUAAGUUCGCAAUAAGGGGUGCCUCAGAAAUGAGGUCGCAGAGAAUAGGCCCAAGCAACUGUUUAACAAAAACACAGGUCUCUGCUAAAUCGAAAGAUGAAGUAUAGGGGCUGACGCCUGCCCGGUGCUGGAAGGUUACGGGAAUCUGUCAACGAAAGUGAAGCAGUGAACUUAAGCCCCAGUAAACGGCGGCCGUAACAAUAACGGUCCUAAGGUAGCGAAAUUCCUUGUCAGGUAAGUUCUGACCCGCACGAAUGGCGUAAUGAUUUGGGCACUGUCUCAACAACGUACCCGGCGAAAUUGUAGUACUUGUGAAGAUGCAAGUUACCCGCGACUAGACGGAAAGACCCCAUGGAGCUUUACUGUAGCCUGAUACUGGGUUUCGGUAUUCUUUGUACAGGAUAGGUGGGAGGUUAGGAAGUAUGGACGCCAGUUCAUAUGGAACCGACGUUGGGAUACCACUCUAAGAAUACUGGAACUCUAACCUGAGGCCAUAAGCUGGUCUAGGGACACUGUCAGGUGGGCAGUUUGACUGGGGCGGUCGCCUCCCAAAAGGUAACGGAGGCGUUCAAAGGUUACCUCAGCGCGGUUGGAAAUCGCGCAACGAGUGCAAAGGCAUAAGGUAGCCUGACUGCGAGACAGACAAGUCGAGCAGGUACGAAAGUAGGACUUAGUGAUCCGGCGGUAUGAAAGUGGAAUUGCCGUCGCUCAACGGAUAAAAGCUACCCUGGGGAUAACAGGCUGAUCUCCCCCAAGAGUCCACAUCGACGGGGAGGUUUGGCACCUCGAUGUCGGCUCAUCGCAUCCUGGAGCUGAAGUAGGUUCCAAGGGUUUGGCUGUUCGCCAAUUAAAGCGGUACGCGAGCUGGGUUCAGAACGUCGUGAGACAGUUCGGUCCCUAUCUGUCGCGGGCGCAGGAUAUUUGAAGGGAUCUGUCCUUAGUACGAGAGGACCGGGAUGGACGAACCUCUGGUGUACCAGUUGUACUACCAAGUGCAUAGCUGGGUAGCCAAGUUCGGAAGGGAUAAACGCUGAAGGCAUCUAAGCGUGAAACCCACCCUAAGAUGAGAUAUCCCACCGUAAGGGUAAGACCCCAUGUAGACUACAUGGUUGAUAGGCCAGAGGUGUAAGUGCAGUAAUGUAUUUAGCCGACUGGUACUAAUAGGUCGAGGGCUUGACC